GCGAAUUUAAAUCCGAGUCAUUUAGUUUCCACUUUACAGUUUUGUUUGUAUGUUAAAUAAUACAUCUCUCGUCUGUGUCAAAAUGACUGCAUUAAUUAAUCAGAGAGAGAUUACAAUUCUUUUUCGUGCGUUUCUACUACAUGUCGGCCGUGCCAGUAGUUACGACGAGAACCAUCGAGCGCGAGUCUGCCAGUACCGCCGCCACACGAUAUAUCAGGUACGAUUUUACUAACCAGACCGUUGAUGUUGUGCACAAGCCCGCGCGAAGACAACAACAAAAUAUACGUUAGCAAACAAAGAAGUCGUCCUCGUUUGAAGACCGUUUGAACUUUAUUAAACUUUAUAACGUCGCAGAAGAGAAACAGUGAUAGAAUUUCUAAGGCUUGUUUUGCACAUCAAAGGACUUUGUAAAGAAAAUUUAUGAACUAAACUCAUCGAUUCUUCGAGCUCGUAUUUAUCGUGUCGAUGGAGUUCCUCCUUAUGAGGAAAAGGACGUUCUUUUUUUUACAAGCACCUCCUCCCCGUGUUUUGUCUCGCAUGGCAGGU